GACGGAGGAUGCAAGCGUUAUCCGGAAUGAUUGGGCGUAAAGCGUCUGCAGGUGGCAGUUCAAGUCUGCUGUCAAAGACCGGGGCUUAACUUCGGAAAGGCAGUGGAAACUGAACAGCUAGAGUACGGUAGGGGCAGAGGGAAUUCCCGGUGUAGCGGUGAAAUGCGUAGAUAUCGGGAAGAACACCAAAGGCGAAAGCGCUCUGCUGGGCCGAAACUGACACUGAGAGACGAAAGCUAGGGGAGCGAAUGGG
rnacentral:rRNA from 1 species